ncrna:unclassified sequences GA-cis RNA
UAUAGGAGGAAACAAAAUGAACGAAGUUCAUUUUCUUUAAAUGUUUCCGACGAAUAGCCCUCGGCCGAAGGGAGGGGGCAAUACAUAUU